AUACAAUGGAGAGUUUGAUCCUGGCUCAGGAUGAACGCUAGCGGCAGGCCUAAUACAUGCAAGUCGGACGGGAUUGGGGAGCUUGCUCCCCAUGAGAGUGGCGCACGGGUGCGUAACGCGUGAGCAACCUGCCCAUUUCAGGGGGAUAGCCCGGAGAAAUCCGGAUUAAGCCCGCAUAUGAU
rnacentral:rRNA from 1 species